GACGAAGGGGGCUAGCGUUGUUCGGAAUUACUGGGCGUAAAGCGAGUGUAGGUGGUUGUCCAAGUUGGAUGUGAAAGCCUUGAGCUCAACUCAAGAAAUUGCAUUCAGGACUGGAUGACUAGAGGACCGGAGAGGAUAGUGGAAUUCCCAGUGUAGUGGUGAAAUACGUAGAGAUUGGGAAGAACACCAGUGGCGAAGGCGGCUAUCUGGACGGUUUCUGACACUAAGACUCGAAAGCGUGGGGAGCAAACAGG
rnacentral:rRNA from 1 species